UCUAUUUCAAAACAUCAAAUGUUUUAAAUCUCUACUAUUUAAUAGGCUUAUCAAAAUCAAACUUCAGUUUCAAAAUUAUGUUUCCUGAUGCCUGGCUUUUCGAAGCUACAGAGGACCCCUGAAGCAUCCACAAGAGAGGUCAACAGAUUAGUUAACAUGUUUAGGUACAUGGGUUUGCCAAAAUGAUGUUUAAUUUUCAGGUUAUAUUUUAGGGAGUAAUAUUAACAUAGGUUCCAAAAUUAUGCGGGAUUUCUAAAAUUCUAAUGUCUGAGUAUAUGCUAUCAAUCACAAUUAAGGUUGUUAUGUUAAGUUUUGUAAACCUUGGAGAUAACCACAUUUCUUUGUCAAUCUUGUUUCUGACUGUAACCACCCUGUACAUUUUGUUAUUCACAAACAAUGUUUGUCUUGUUUUGAUCCUUUUCGAAAGACGGCUUAUAAUAAACUAUGGGACCCUGACAAGUGCUCUCAAAUACAGGUUUCUGAUAACUUCGGCGACUAUAACAUUGGAAUAAAGGAAAACUAUACAGGACUCAUGAAGAUUCUGAAAUGUUCACGAAUCUCAAGCAAAACAAGAGCUAACUAAAUGGACUAAUAGAAAACUGAAGUAAUCUUUUUGACUUUUGCUUGAAAUAUUGCUAAUCUUUGUUUCAUUUUUCAGAGUCAAGGAAACGUAUUUUGAGCUAUUUACAGACUUUAAUAAUUGAGAAAGGCCAUCAGACUCCAAAUGGUCAUGCAACCGGAGCCACGGAUGAUGGCCCCUUUUGCUGGAGACCCUUAGAUAGGCCUCUGAAGAAGAUCUGACCACCAUUUUCCCAAAAUAGAAUCGACCUUAUGGCUCAAACACCUCCUACCCCCUGUCAUUAGGGAGCAGUUAGGAUUGGUUUUUGUUCUUAUCCUUAUCUUUAUUCUAACAGAAGAUAGAUGUACAUUUUUAGAGCGGGGAAUGAGGCAGCCAAAUGCCUAGCCAGAUAAUAAAGGGUCCCUGGAGAAUCUCUGAGCUGCCCCACAAGUAUUUGCAUUAGAUGUUUUCGUGCAAAUGAGGGAAGCUUCUCAGGGCUUAUCUGGGCAUGCCCACAGUGGACUGGAGCCCAACAAGCACACUAGAGGGUGGAGCUAUGGGGAAUUCAAACCUUAUGCAGGGGAGAAACCUGCUUUCUUCAGUUUAUGUGGUGACCUGGGAAUCAAUCUAUGAGGUAGAGGACCUAUUAGCAGGUCUCCAUCUCACUUUGCUGAGUUUUUUUCUUUCUUUUUUUCCUUUUCCAAUAAAGUCCUGCUGUAUUCACCCUUCAA